GACGAAGGACCCAAGCGUUAUCCGGAUUCAUUGGGUUUAAAGGGUGCGUAGGCGGGUUGAUAAGUCAGUGGUGAAAGCCCAACGCUUAACGUUGGAACUGCCAUUGAUACUGUCGAUCUUGAAUGUGUUUGAUGUGGGCGGAAUAUGACAUGUAGCGGUGAAAUGCUUAGAUAUGUCAUAGAACACCGAUUGCGAAGGCAGCUCACAAAGCCACUAUUGACGCUGAGGCACGAAAGCGUGGGGAGCGAACAGG
rnacentral:rRNA from 1 species